rnacentral:pre_miRNA from 1 species
CUGUCGUAGAUGGUAGAACAUUCUAGAGUAGAAAAUUCUAGAUUAGUAUAAUCUAGCGUGGAAUGAUCUAGAUUAGAAGAACCUACCUAUAUUAGUAAAGGAGAUGAUACAAUAAUCAUCAUCGAUACUCUAGGAUGUUCAUGUAUUAAUACUAGGAUUC